UAUUUGAGAGCUCAUUUGCUCGUGCUUGUUGCUUGUUCAUUUUCUCUAUUGCAAGUUUGAGCUUCUUGCUUAGCAAACCCUACGAUGGGAAUCUUACUAUUGUUGGCUUCGGUGGUCAAAGAGGAAAAUGGAACACCACAUUUGGUAGGAACACGUAAAAGAAUAAGGGAUACAAACAAGUUUAUGGGCUGGGCAAUUUCCAUGAUGGGUGAUUGGUGUUUUGAUUAUUGCUAUGCGUGAGAAUUGCUUUUUCCUGUGCACCAAUGUUAGAUUUUGCAAGGAGUGAAUACCAUAGAUUGUGGGGACCAAGGUUGGCGUGAGCUUUAUGGCAGGCUGGUGUGAAGAUUUAAGAGGCGUUGACAGCCAUUUUUGGCCCUUGGUGUGAGGAGUAUGAGUUCAAAUAACUCAAGCACGGAUCCUUAUGAAGAUAGCUGUUUAUCCAGUGAUAAAAUAUUGAUGUUAAAUAUUGUUUCCAGCUUCCUCAAGAGGACGAACCUUUCUGGUCAUUGAGAUCAGAAUUUUGUAAUAAUCUGCUAUUAUUACUGCAGUCUAUUGCAUGAAAUAUUAUUGUUA